UACGUAGGGUCCGAGCGUUGUCCGGAAUUACUGGGCGUAAAGAGCUCGUAGGUGGUUUGUCGCGUUGUUCGUGAAAACUCACAGCUCAACUGUGGGCGUGCGGGCGAUACGGGCAGACUUGAGUACUGCAGGGGAGACUGGAAUUCCUGGUGUAGCGGUGGAAUGCGCAGAUAUCAGGAGGAACGCCGGUGGCGAAGGCGGGUCUCUGGGCAGUAACUGACGCUGAGGAGCGAAAGCGUGGGGAGCGAACAGG
rnacentral:rRNA from 1 species